AGUAACACGUGGAUAACCUACCCAUAAGACUGGGAUAACUUCGGGAAACCGUAGCUAAUACCGGAUAAUAUUUUGAACCGCAUGGUUCAAAAGUGAAAGACGGUCUUGCUGUCACUUAUAGAUGGAUCCGCGCUGCAUUAGCUAGUUGGUAAGGUAACGGCUUACCAAGGCAACGAUGCAUAGCCGACCUGAGAGGGUGAUCGGCCACACUGGAACUGAGACACGGUCCAG
rnacentral:rRNA from 1 species